UAUGGAUACAGAUCGCUCCAGGACCCAUAGAUCUAUGAUGCAGAAGACAACAUAUAUUGUACAUGAUACAGAAGAAUCAGCCUCGUGUGAAGAAGACACUUAUAUAUGCACAGCACAAACAGAGACAGAAUAUCCAUCUACUGAUAUAAAGGAGAAACCAGUUUCCUGUGAAGAAGAAAAUCUCACGGCCCUAUAUACACCUACAGACCAUCCACAGACAGAAUAUCC